UACGGAGGGUGCAAGCGUUAUCCGGAUUCACUGGGUUUAAAGGGUGCGUAGGCGGACAGGUAAGUCAGUGGUGAAAUCUCUGGGCUUAACCGGGGAACUGCGUCUGAUACUGGAUGGCUUGAGUUUGGGAGAGGGAUGCGGAAUUCCAGGUGUAGCGGUGAAAUGCGUAGAUAUCUGGAGGAACACCGGUGGCGAAGGCGGCAUCCUGGACCAACACUGACGCUGAGGAGCGAAAGCCAGGGGAGCAAACGGG
rnacentral:rRNA from 1 species